ACAACGUUGGGGAAACUCAAGCUAAUACCGCAUACGCCCGUACGGGGAAAGCCGGGGACCUUCGGGCCUCGCGCUAUUGGAUGAGCCUGCGUCGGAUUAGCUAGUUGGUGGGGUAAAGCCCACCAAGGCGACGAUCCGUAGCUGGUCUGAGAGGAUGAUCAGCCACACUGGGACUGAGACACCGGCCCAGACUCCUACGGGAGGCAGCAGUGGGAAUAUUGGACAUGGGGGCAACCCUGAUCCAGCCAUGCCGCGUGUGUGAAGAAGGCCUUCGGGUUGUAAAGCACUUUCAGUAGGGAAGAAAAGCCUAAGGUUAAUACCCUUGGGUCUUGACGGUACCUACACAAGAAGCACCGGCUAAUUCCGUG
rnacentral:rRNA from 1 species